CCGGCGCACGGGUGAGUAACACGUAUGCAACCUGGCCGUCACAGGUGGAUAACCGGAAGAAAUUCCGACUAAUACAGCAUAACACUCCUGAGGGACAUCCCUUGGGAGUCAAAGGAGGCAACUCCGGUGACGGAUGGGCAUGCGGCGCAUUAGGUAGUUGGUAGGGUAACGGCCUACCAAGCCGAUGAUGCGUAGGGGUUCUGAGAGGAAGGUCCCCCACAUUGGAACUGAGACACGGUCCAAACUCCUACGGGAGGCAGCAG
rnacentral:rRNA from 1 species